rnacentral:rRNA from 1 species
CUACGGGCGGCUCCAGGCGCGAAACCUUUACACUGCGCGAAAGCGUGAUAGGGAGAUUCCCAGUGUCAGUUAUGCUGACUUUUGUUAAGCGUAAAUAACUUAACGAAUAAGUGGGGGGCAAGAUACGUGCCAGCCGCCGCGGUAAUACGUACCCCACUAGUGAUGCUCGCGAAUAUUGGGCCUAAAGCAUCCGUAGCCUGUUUAGUAAGUCUCUUGUUAAAUCUAUUAGCUUAACUAAUAGCCUGCAAGGGAUACUGCUAGACUAGGGGUAGGGAGACGUCAAGGGUAUUUCUGGGGUACGGUGAAAUGGGAUAAUCCUAGAAGGACCACCUGUAGCGAAGGCGCUUGACGAGAACUAACCCGACGGUGAGGGAUGAAAGCUGGGGGAGCGACCCGGAUUAGAUACCCGCGUAGUC